GGUAAUGAAAAUAAAUAUGCAAAAUAACACCACACGAAGAUUUUUUUACGAGGAAACCUUUGAUCCUCACGAUUUAGGAUAAAAAUCUUGACACGUUAUUAUGUCCACUUGUAGACGAAACAAUUCACUAUGAAAAUAAUGUGAUCAAGAACACUUACAAAGCUUCGCAGCCGUAAAUAUCUCGAAUCUACAUUCUAUUGUGUCAACCCUCACAGACUAAAAUACGUUAUCUAAAAUACAUUUGAACAUUUUCCAAGUGGAUUUAAGUGGGCAGCCUUACCAAGACUUGGGUCUUGGGUUUGAGUCUCAUGUAGUGUAGUCUCAUAGACAUUAUUUUGGUGCUCUGAGGAAUUGUUGUUUCUAUCUAGAUUUCUUUGUCGUAUUUGCCAAUGCAUUUUACUCGUUACAAAGAUGCCUUAUUUUCUAUUGCUAAUGUUAUUGGUAAGCCUCUGCGGGUGGACUUGCGACUGCUAUUGUUAAUUGGCCCUUAAUCGCUAGAGUUCUUAAUGAGUUCUAUCUUCUAUUGCUUUUGUUAUUUUUCUAGUUGUUGGAUGUAUUUAUUCCCAUGCUUGGAGGUUUUAACAUACGUCCCUCUCCAUAUGUAUUUUCUUUUAUUUUAUUAAUUUAGGGUAAGGGAGUCCUGCCUAACCCCCCACCUAGGGAUGGCAAUGGGGAGGGGAGGGGAGGGGACCGAUCUCCCCGUACUCAUCCCCGAUAUUUUGCGUAUGUCCCCAUCCCCUCCCCGUCCCCGUCAGAAUUACUUGAGAGAAUCCCCAUCCCCUCCCCGAAUAAUAACAGGGGAUCCCCGAGGGUCCCCGAUCCCCGAAUAACUAAUACAUUUUUUUUCGAUUUUGAGUUAAUCAUAUUAAAAUAAAAAAUUCAAAUAAAAAUAAAGUUCGAAAUAUAUCUUACAUUAAUAUUUAUUACAAAAGUCACAUACAUUAAAUUAGUAAGUAACGCAACAUGCAAGGGAUACAAACUUAUUUUACAAACUAUCAUGAACAAAUUAAUAGUCUAAUACAAAAUUGUUACAAAUAAAAUCGAAUUUAGAUUCAAAAUUAACUUUUUCAAUAGUGGCGUGGGCACUUUAUAAAUGUGGACUAUUCCCUUUACAACACAAUAGUUAAAUCGGAGCAAAUUAAAAGUAAAUAUUAGAUUAGAUUAGAUUAGAUAUUAAAAUUGUGAUUCGUUGUGGGCAAUUAUAACAUCUAAAAUUAAAUAAAAAAUAGAUUUAAGUUUAAAAUAUUUAAAGAAUAUCAAAAUUAAAAAAAAUGUUUGGCUAAUAGAAUCUACU
rnacentral:lncRNA from 1 species